ensembl:misc_RNA 7SK 7SK RNA
GGAUGUGAGGGCGACCUGGCUGCGAUAUCUGUCACCCCAUUGAUUGCCAGGGUUGAUUUGGCUGAUCUGGCUGGCUAGGCAGGUGUCCCCUUCCUCUCUCACUGCUCCAUGUGUGUCCCUCCCUAAGAUGUGGGUUAGGUCGAAGAGGACAGCCUUCCCCGAAUAGAGAUGGACUGGUCUUCAGUCAAGGGUAUAUGAGUAGCUUCACUCCCCUGCUAGAAUCUCCAAACAAGCUCUCAUUCUUCUGCAUGUUUCAACCCAGUUUUCCCAGCACCAUUUAUUGAAGAGAGCCCCCUUCUUCCAUUUAAUACUUUGGGCCUCCUUAUCAAAGAUUAGAUGUCCAUAGGU